UUCCUUUUGUACUGGCUUUAUAAGGAACGUUUUGUGAGUAGUGGUUGACGAAUGGAACACAAAGGUCCUCUGAUCUGCACAUCCACCUUUCUGCAGAGCUGAAGUGCUUUAGUCGUAAGGGUUUAACCUUUUCCCUUACCUUCUGACUCCCUUUUUGCAGAGCAUGUUGAGUCGGCUGCAGAUCUUGACUGUAAAUUAGCGUCUAGAGACCCCGCGGGUAAGCUGGACAUCUGUGUAUCUGAGUUUCUUAGCAAUAAAGCAAAAGUGAACCUUA